AACGAACGCUGGCGGCAUGCCUAACACAUGCAAGUCGAACGAGACCUUCGGGUCUAGUGGCGCACGGGUGCGUAACGCGUGGGAACCUGCCCUUAGGUUCGGAAUAACUCCCCGAAAGGGGUGCUAAUACCGGAUAAUGUCUUCAGACCAAAGAUUUAUCGCCUUUGGAUGGGCCCGCGUUGGAUUAGCUAGUUGGUAGGGUAAAAGCCUACCAAGGCGACGAUCCAUAGCUGGUCUGAGAGGAUGAUCAGCCACACUGGGACUGAGACACGGCCCAGACUCCUACGGGAGGCAGCAGUGGGGAAUAUUGGACAAUGGGCGAAAGCCUGAUCCAGCAAUGCCGCGUGAGUGAUGAAGGCCUUAGGGUUGUAAAGCUCUUUUACCCGGGAUGAUAAUGACAGUACCGGGAGAAGAAGCUCCGGCUAACUCCGU
rnacentral:rRNA from 1 species